CUGCGUGUCCGACUCCCUGCCCCCCGCCACCUUCUCCUGGCAAUACAACAAUGAACCGGUGGCAUCUGGCCAACAGGACAGUGGGGUGUUCAGCCUCCAGACCUUCUCCACCAACCAGAGCGGCCAAUGCAAGUGCGUGGCUAGCAACGCCAUCACGGGCAUGACGUCGGAGCAGGGGACGGACCUGGCAAUCGUGGGCACAUGCCUCAGUGCAGGGGCAGUGGCGGGCAUUGUGAUUGGCUGUGUGGUCGCUCUGAUCUUAAUCAUCAAAGCCAUCGUACUCCUGGUGUGCUGAGGAGAGCAGACCCACCAAGGGAGGCCUAGACACUGAGAGAUGCCAACGGACACACACACACCAGCAACUGACAAGAGGAGAAACACCAAGCAUGGAUGACUAUGGAAGCCCCACUCUAAAGCAAUGGAGACCAAGAAAAAACACACACAUGCGAGUGCGCACACACACACACAGACACACACACACACACACUCCAUCACACACAUUUCCCGCAGUCGACUCCCCCUGCCUGUCAAGUGAAUGUUAUCUGUUGAUUUUCAAAAGUACCAACAAUGACUCACUGGAAAACUCACACAGAUGUAUUAUUUCUGAAGCACCACAUAACCAAAUAGUAGGAAUGAGAAAAGGGCCUUAUUGAGGCGAGACACUUCAGGCCGUGUGUACGUGGCCUCUCCCAUUCAGCGUGUUCAGAGAGAGAAUGAGACACUACCACAACAAUGAGGACUUGAGAUGUUUGCAUUAAUGUAUUUGUGUGUGUUGCUCCUUGUGACUAGAAUGAACAGUAAAAGGGAAAGAAAAAGAGAGCCAUUGCUGGACAGAUUCCAGUUGAUUGAAUGGACUUGGCCCCUGGGAAACUACUGUGUGAGAAUUCUGAAGGAAAAACCCCCUCUGUGACUUGCUUUAUUUAAUAUUUCCAUGGAAGUAUUUAUGUGGUGCCUUUCUGUUUGCAGAUGCUUCUCUUGACACCGCUCAAUUAACGGGAUUCGCCUCAGCGCCUCGACUUCGGAAGCAAUGCUCAACUAAUUAUGAAGGAGACCCCACAAAUGGAUGGGCCACUUAUUAAUUAAGUGCUUUUAUGCGACUUAAAUGACUCGGAAAAUAAUAGUGCCCAUGCGUGGAAGAGGUCAGCACAGAGAAGCUGCUGAGCUGCCACGUUUGCCCUGACUAAGCAAUGCAAAACAAUUUGCUCGGGGACUACGAUGCUCUUUUGUGUGGGGGAUUGGCACAUUAAAAGUUAUCUCUUUUGGAAGGAAUCUUAGUUUUCUUUGGAACAAAAUGUGUAUUUAAUAUUUUUAUUUUUCUGUUACGUGGUAAAUAUGUUGGACUGCCAUUGCAAUAUGUGUCUUUGUGACUCAGGGAGGAUGUUUUAUACUAAAAUAUAUGUUCCAUGAGAAUACAGAAUAGAGUGUAAAUAAUGUUUUUAAAGAUUAGGGGUCUCCAUUGAACAUGCUUUUUUUUCAGGACUAGGCCGGCCCCAUAUUUUUUAUUGAUGAUAAUAAAGUAUUUAGAUUACCCCACGUGGUGUCUUGUGAAUGUCUAUUGUCGUGUAUUGGGAUUAUGCCUUUGUUAAAUGUUUUUCUUGAAGAAAUGGAAUGUUGUUUAUGUUAGG